rnacentral:piRNA from 1 species
UUCCUGGCCGAGAGAACAAGACAGCUGUGG